AGUCGUGUGAGUCUCAGCACAAAGCUUCUCUCCUGCCUCCGCCCAACAGGGUCAUACGACAACUGGUGGAGGAUGUCUUUCACAAAGCUAUGGACCAUGGUUCUGUGCCAGAGCCCUUUGCCCCGCUGAGUGGGAGGAGUCAGAUGAUCAGAGAAAGGCUUCACGGUAAGCGUGAUCGGUAUCCUGACUACAGUGAGGGCAGCGCGGCUGGAGGGGAGAGCAGACGGUACUCUAACGACUCCACCAAGUC